GCGGCUUUAUGCAGGAGACUUUGGCACGAUGUCAGCCUGAAAUGGAGCACUUUGCGCUUGGCCUAAAUCGCCACAAUUGCACCUGGCGUGCAGGGCAGACAUCACGGCACAGCAGACAGGAGGAAUGAUUUUUAGGAGGGCUGGAGGGCUGGCGGCCUUCCCCGGUCUGGGAAGAAAGGAACCAACUCCCAGGAGGUAGGGAAAGGGCAGAAACCCAGCUUUGGACUCCAAACUGCAUUUUGCUUUCAAACUCUGAGGAUGCUAGCCAAAGGCCUUUGCUUGAUGACCUCGGGUCCUCUCUCAACAUGAAAAGGGAAUUUUCGUCAUUUCCAGCCUCGAUUGGCCAUCUUAAAACCCACCUCAUUUCUUUAUUAUUAUUAUUGCCACAGGGUUUUGAGAGAAUGCAAUAUUUGCAAAAUGGAACUUAAGAGACUCUUUAAGAAUCCGAAUAAGCCCCCAGCAGCUUCCCGUGGGGGAGCCUGCUUCCCAGCCGGCUUGGGCUUACCCACCCAGGGCGACCCCCACACGACUCACCUCUCCCCAUGAUUACUGCGUUUAGUCAACUAUCGACUUGGGAAACAAUUUUGUUCCAUUUGCUUUCUCUGCCUGAGAAAAAAGAAAUAAAGGGAAGGCUUUGAAGUACCUUUCUGGCGGGGCGCUCGCAUUCAAGUGCUAAUGCGAUACCGAGGAAAGCGGUGGACGCUAAAUGUUUACAUUAAAAUGGAAAUAUGGGAUCGAUUUUUCCAAUCGGGGCUCCUGGUCCCUCCUUAAAAGUCUGCUUCGAGAGGCAGAAACAAUGCAAAACCCGAAUCACCAUCUUUAAGUGAUAUUGGCUGAGGCAGCAACUUCAGACACUCUGGAAGCCCCCAAGGAAAUGUAUUUGUCUCCAAAGCACUUGGCAGAGGUAGCACGGCCGGGGCCAGGCUGGCAGAAAGACCCCAUUUCUCAACCUGGCUUCCUACACAGAAUUAUUUAGAAGGAAACUUUAUCAGACGGCCUUCCAGCACCACACCAUCCAUCUUGCAGAGAUGGGAGACUCUCAGCUGCCUCUCCAAGAUCGUGUUUGCCUGCAUGCGGCCGUGUCAUGCCGGGAUGAUAAUGGACUAAAUCUCUCAGUUGUAAGCCAGCUCCAAUAAAAUGCUUUCAUUUA